rnacentral:rRNA from 1 species
UACGUAGGGUGCGAGCGUUGUCCGGAAUUAUUGGGCGUAAAGAGCUCGUAGGCGGUGUGUCACGUCGAUCGUGAAGACCUACAGCUUAACUGUGGGCGUGCGGUCGAUACGGGCAUCACUGGAGUUCGGCAGGGGAGACUGGAAUUCCUGGUGUAGCGGUGAAAUGCGCAGAUAUCAGGAGGAACACCGGUGGCGAAGGCGGGUCUCUGGGCCGAUACUGACGCUGAGGAGCGAAAGCGUGGGGAGCGAACAGG